UACGGAGGGAGCUAGCGUUGUUCGGAUAUACUGGGCGUAAGCGCACGUAGGCGGCGCCGUAAGUCAGGGGUGAAAUCCCGGAGCUCAACUCCGGAACUGCCCUUGAAACUGCAGUGCUAGAAUCUUGGAGAGGCGAGUGGAAUUCCGAGUGUAGAGGUGAAAUUCGUAGAUAUUCGGAAGAACACCAGUGGCGAAGGCGACUCGCUGGACAAGUAUUGACGCUGAGGUGCGAAAGCGUGGGGAGCAAACAGG
rnacentral:rRNA from 1 species